rnacentral:misc_RNA from 1 species
GAUGAAGAACGUAGCGAAAUGCGAUAAGUAGUGUGAAUUGCAGAAUUCAGUGAAUCAUCGAAUCUUUGAACGCACAUUGCGCCCUUUGGUAUUCCAAAGGGCAUGCCUGUUCGAGCGUCAUUUGUACCCUCAAGCUUUGCUUGGUGUUGGGCGUCUUGUCUCUAGCUUUGCUGGAGACUCGCCUUAAAGUAAUUGGCAGCCGGCCUACUGGUUUCGGAGCGCAGCACAAGUCGCACUCUCUAUCAGCAAAGGUCUAGCAUCCAUUAAGCCUUUUUUUCAAGUUUUGACCUCGGAUCAGGUAGGGAUACCCGCUGAACUUAAGCAUAUCAAUAAGCGGAGGA